rnacentral:rRNA from 1 species
GAUGAACGCUGGCGGCGUGCCUAACACAUGCAAGUCGAACGGAGUCCAGCCUUUAAGACCUUCGGGUCAAAGAGGGGAAGACUGAGUGGCGGACGGGUGAGUAACACGUGGGCAACCUGGCUCAUAGAGGGGGAUAACAGAGAGAAAUUUCUGCUAAUACCGCAUAAGCACACACUGCCGCAUGGCAGAGGGUGAAAAGAGAAUCGCUAUGAGAUGGACCCGCGUCUGAUUAGCCAGUUGGCAGGGUAAGAGCCUACCAAAGCGACGAUCAGUAGCCGAUCUGAGAGGAUGAACGGCCACAUUGGGACUGAGACACGGCCCAAACUCCUACGGGAGGCAGCAGUGGGGGAUAUUGCACAAUGGGGGGAACCCUGAUGCAGCGACGCCGCGUGAGUGAAGAAGUAUUUCGGUAUGUAAAGCUCUAUCAGCAGGGAAGAUAAUGACAGUACCUGAAUAAGAAGCCCCAGCUAACUACGUG